CUUGAACGCUAGCGGGAUGCUUUACACAUGCAAGUCGAACCAGUGGCGGACGGGUGCGUAAUAUAUCGGAACGUGCCCAGUAGCGGGGGAUAACUACUCGCAAGAGUGGCUAAUACCUCAUACUCUUGGAGCUGACGAUAUCGGAUUAGCUAUGUGGUGGGGUAAAGGCUCACCAAGGCAACGAUCCUUAGCUGGUUUGAGAGGACGACCAGCCAAACUGGGACUGAGACACGGCCCAGAAUACUACGGUAGGUAGCAGUGGGGAAUUUGUGACAAUGGGGGAAACCCUGAUCCAGCCAGCCCGCGUGUAGGAGAAGGCCUUCGGGUUGUAAAGUACUUUUGGCAGAGAAGCGGGAUCUGCAGAAUAAGCACCGGCUAACUACGUGCCAGCAGCCGCGGUAAUAC
rnacentral:rRNA from 1 species